rnacentral:tRNA from 1 species
GCUGGCAUGGCUCAGUGGUUGAGCAUCGACCCAUGAACCAGGAGGUCAUGGUUCGAUUCCAGGUGCGGGCU